CAGGCCUAACACAUGCAAGUCGAACGGAAAGGCCCUGCUUUUGUGGGGUGCUCGAGUGGCGAACGGGUGAGUAACACGUGAGUAACCUGCCCUUGACUUUGGGAUAACUUCAGGAAACUGGGGCUAAUACCGGAUAGGAGCUCCUGCUGCAUGGUGGGGGUUGGAAAGUUUCGGCGGUUGGGGAUGGACUCGCGGCUUAUCAGCUUGUUGGUGGGGUAGUGGCUUACCAAGGCUUUGACGGGUAGCCGGCCUGAGAGGGUGACCGGCCACAUUGGGACCGAGAUACGGCCCAGACUCCUACGGGAGGCAGCAGUGGGGAAUAUUGCACAAUGGGCGGAAGCCUGAUGCAGCAACGCCGCGUGCGGGAUGACGGCCUUCGGGUUGUAAACCGCUUUCGCCUGUGACGAAGCGUGAGUGACGGUAAUGGGUAAAGAAGCACCGGCUAACUACGUGCCAGCAGCCGCGGUGAUACGUAGGGUGCGAGCGUUGUCCGGAUUUAUUGGGCGUAAAGGGCUCGUAGGUGGUUGAUCGCGUCGGAAGUGUAAUCUUGGGGCUUAACCCUGAGCGUGCUUUCGAUACGGGUUGACUUGAGGAAGGUAGGGGAGAAUGGAAUUCCUGGUGGAGCGGUGGAAUGCGCAGAUAUCAGGAGGAACACCAGUGGCGAAGGCGGUUCUCUGGGCCUUUCCUGACGCUGAGGAGCGAAAGCGUGGGGAGCGAACAGGCUUAGAUACCCUGGUAGUCCACGCUGUA
rnacentral:rRNA from 1 species